GAUGAAGAACGCAGCGAAAUGCGAUAAGUAGUGUGAAUUGCAGAAUUCAGUGAAUCAUCGAAUCUUUGAACGCACAUUGCGCCCCUUGGUAUUCCAUGGGGCAUGCCUGUUCGAGCGUCAUCUACACCCUCAAGCUCUGCUUGGUGUUGGGCGUCUGUCCCGCCUCUGCGCGCGGACUCGCCCCAAAUUCAUUGGCAGCGGUCCUUGCCUCCUCUCGCGCAGCACAUUGCGCUUCUCGAGGUGCGCGGCCCGCGCCCACGAAGCAACAUUACCGUCUUUGACCUCGGAUCAGGUAGGGAUACCCGCUGAACUUAAGCAUAUCAAUAAGCGGAGGA
rnacentral:misc_RNA from 1 species